GGUGGAGCACACAGCCUUGGAGGGGCGAAGUCGCAGGCUGAUGAGCAGUGUGAGAAGGGGCUGUGCGGGCCACCUUUGGAAUGGGAUGAGCAUUUGAGGUACCAUGAGAGAUGAUGGCUGCAGGGUCUGACUCUGGAAUGAGCAGGUAAGCAUAACACUGUGGUGUGAGUGAUUAAGUAGGGGGUUGGGAAAGUAGUUGGUGUUGGCUGAUGGGUUGCUUACUGCCUCUUCUGAUU